rnacentral:rRNA from 1 species
CAUGCCUGUCCGAGCGUCAUUU